UGCUGGUUAGCUCAGUCAGUUGAGCAUAGUGCUAACAACGCUAAGGUCGCGGGUUCGAUUCCCGUUUCAUCAU
rnacentral:tRNA from 1 species